AGUCCUGCCAGGACGGCGACAGUGAAGCACCUGGGUUGAGAGGGAGCAGCAGUGCUAUGGAUCUUCCUCAGAAGAACAUGAAGUUGCUUCUGUGGAACUGGUUAUCUGCCAUGGCCUCAACAAUCCAUAAUCCAGUCAUGGAGAGGAUUCCCCAUGGUCAGAAGUCAACUUGCACAUCUAGUUAAAGUCCAAGGUGGCGAUCUUUUCAAAGAAGCUGUACAGGCUCUUCCAUGUGUUGAUAACAAAACACUGCCUACUGAUCUGCAUGAGACACUCCAUCUCAGAGUCUACUUCCUGAAGAACUCAACAAGUAACAACUCGUACUAGGAACAAUUCAAAGCAGCAGGAGAUUCAUAGGAAUUUGGAAAAUAUGCUUAUUCACCAUCAAGCUAGCAAUAGGAUCCUAAUAUUUAAUUUGAUGGGUACAGAUAGACUCUGGUACAAAAUGGUAGUCUAGUUGUUAAAAGUUCCACUA
rnacentral:lncRNA from 1 species